GAUGAACGCUGGCGGCGUGCUUAACACAUGCAAGUCGAACGAAGCACUUAAGAUUGAUUCUUCAGAUGACGUCUCUUGUGACUUAGUGGCGGACGGGUUAGUAACGCGUGGGUGACCUGCCUCACACAGGGGGAUAAAAGUUAGAAAUGACUGUUAAUACCACCUAACCCGAUAGGAUAGCAUGAUCCAGACGGAAAAGAUUUAUCGGUGUUAGAUGGUCGCGCGGCUGAUUAGCUAGUUAGUGAGGUAACGGCCCACCAAGGGGACGGGCGGUACCCGGCCUGAGAGGGGGAACGCCCACAAUGGGACUGAGGCACGGCCCAAUCACGUACGGGAGGCAGCGGGUGGGAGUAUUGCACAACGGGGCCAAGCGUAAUGCAGCGGCGCUGCGGGAGUGAAGAAUUAUUUGGGUAUGGAAAGCUCUAUCAGCAGGGGAGAAAAUGACGGUACCUGACUAAUAAGCCCCGGCUAACUACGUG
rnacentral:rRNA from 1 species